GAUGAACGCUGGCGGCGUGCCUAACACAUGCAAGUCGAGCGAUCUUCUUCGGAAGAGAGCGGCGGACGGGUGAGUAACGCGUGGGUAACCUGCCUCAUACACAUGGAUAACAUACCGAAAGGUAUGCUAAUACAAGAUGAUAUAAGAGAUUCGCAUGGAUUUCUUAUCAAAGCUCCGGCGGUAUGAGAUGGACCCGCGUCUGACUAGCUAGUUGGUAAGGUAACAGCUUACCAAGGCGACGAUCAGUAGCCGACCUGAGAGGGUGAUCGGCCACAUUGGAACUGAGACACGGUCCAAACUCCUACGGGAGGCAGCAGUGGGGAAUAUUGCACAAUGGGCGAAAGCCUGAUGCAGCAACGCCGCGUGAGCGAUGAAGGCCUUCGGGUCGUAAAGCUCUGUCCUCAAGGAAGAUAAUGACGGUACUUGAGGAGGAAGCCCCGGCUAACUACGUGCCAGCCGCCGCAGUAAUAC
rnacentral:rRNA from 1 species